CACGUGACAGCACUUUAUUGAGGCAGCGUCCAAUCAGGAGAGGGCGACAGCAACGCGGGGGAGGAGCUCAGCCAAUCGGGAGGCGGCGUCUGGGGAGGCGGCCAACGGCGUCUCGGCCAAUCCCAGCACAGACAGGCGGGGGCAGGUGGCCAAUGGGGCCAGCGCGGGGCGUGGCUUAUGGGGUUGCCGUCCAAUCGCAGCUCCCGAAGCCGCGGAAGGGGUGGGAGUCCCUGCAGCGUUGCGAUCUGAUUGCGCGACACGUCCAGCACCUGCAGCCUCCUCAGCGCCCCCAAGGUUUGGGGGAGCCCCUGCAGGGCAUUGCCCCCCAAAUCCAGCACGGUGACACAGCCCAGGCGCUCCAAUAGGGGCAGCGAUGUCAGCCCCUUCCCGCGGAGGCGGAGCUCCUCAGGCUCCGCCCCCUCCCUCAGCAGCGCCAGCACAAGCUCCGCCCUCGACGCCAUGUCGGCCACGAAGCCAAUCCGCAGCGGGUCCGCCUCCUGCAGGGCCCGCAGGCAGCGCCGCAUCUCCUCCUCGUGGCCCAAUGGGUCGGUGGAGGCCAACAGCAGCAGCAGGGUCAGCAGGCAGCCGCGGCUGAGCGGCUCCAGCUCCAGCAGCUCCCUGCAGGCGCCCAGCAGCUCCUCCAGCACCGCCCGGUCGGCCACGCCCAUUUCCGGCCAGAAGAGCUCCUGGGGCACAACAGGCUCC
rnacentral:lncRNA from 1 species